rnacentral:rRNA from 1 species
AGUCAUAUGCUUGUCUCAAAGAUUAAGCCAUGCAUGUCUCAGUACAAGCCAAAUUAAGGUGAAACCGCGAAAGGCUCAUUAAAUCAGUUAUGGUUCCUUAGAUCGUACCCACACUUACUCGGAUAACUGUGGUAAUUCUAGAGCUAAUACGUGCAAAUAGAGCUCCGACCGGAGACGGAAGGGGCGCUUUUAUUAGAUCAAAACCAAUCGGCGGCGGGUAACACCGUCGUCGUACCUUUUGGUGACUCUGAAUAACUUAUUGCUGAUCGCACGGUCUCGCACCGGCGACGCAUCUUUCAAAUGUCUGCCUUAUCAACUGUCGAUGGUAGGUUCUGCGCCUACCAUGGUCGUAACGGGUAACGGGGAAUCAGGGUUCGAUUCCGGAGAGGGAGCCUGAGAAACGGCUACCACAUCCAAGGAAGGCAGCAGGCGCGCAAAUUACCCACUCCCGGCACGGGGAGGUAGUGACGAAAAAUAACGAUACGGGACUCAUCCGAGGCCCCGUAAUCGGAAUGAGUACACUCUAAACCCUUUAACGAGGAUCAAUUGGAGGGCAAGUCCGGUGCCAGCAGCCGCGGUAAUUCCAGCUCCAAUAGCGUAU